UACGUAGGGGGCGAGCGUUGUCCGGAUUUAUUGGGCGUAAAAGGCUUGUAGGUGGCCACGUCAAGUCGGCUGUGAAAUCUCCCGGCUCAACUGGGAGGGGUCAGUCGAUACUGGCGGGCUCGAGGCCGGUAGGGGGAAGCGGAAUUCCCGGUGUAGUGGUGGAAUGCGUAGAUAUGGGAGGAACACCAGUGGCGAAGGCGGCUCCUGGAC
rnacentral:rRNA from 1 species